GAUGAAGAACGCAGCGAAAUGCGAUACGUAAUGUGAAUUGCAGAAUUCAGUGAAUCAUCGAAUCUUUGAACGCAUAUUGCGCUCUUUGGUAUUCCGAAGAGCAUGCUUGUUUGAGUAUCAGUAAACACCUCAACCUCUUCUUGAUUUUUCAAAAGGAGGGUGGACUUGAGCUAUCCCAACAACCUUUACCGGUCGGCGGGCGGCUUGAAAUGCAGGUGCAGCUGGACUUAAGCAUAUCAAUAAGCGGAGGA
rnacentral:misc_RNA from 1 species